GGGGAGAGGGGUGGUUAUGGGGUAGUCCACCCACACCAGACUGGGGUUGAGAGGACUGGGGGAGAGGGGUGGUUAUGGGGUAGUCCACCCACACCAGAGUGGGGUUGAGAGGACUGGGGGAGAGGGGUGGUUAUGGGGUAGUCCACCCACACCAGACUGGGGUUGAGAGGACUGGGGGAGAGGGGUGGUUAUGGGGUAGUCCACCCACACCAGACUGGGGUUGAGAGGACUGGGGGAGAGGGGUGCGUAGUGGAUCAUCCUGGUCGUGUCUGGGUUCAGUUCAGACUGUCUGAUUCCUAUCCAUGUCAGGAGUGUUGAAUGCUGUUCUAUCAGUACUUCCAGAUAGACUAGUCUAAUUAUGAAGUCCAAUUAGAAGUUACUCUGCACUCUGCUCUCUGGUGGUCAUUUAAUCUGAGGAAAUUAUGAAAUAAUAAGUGUUUUGGUGGAUAUGGGGAUAGUGUCCAUCUGUGUGUAUUGAAGAAAUAGAGAGAGGGGGAAACACAGGAGCUGAAUAUGUCCAUCAGGGGGGCUUGCCCAUUCUCUCUCUCUCUUUAUCUUUCUUUCUUUCUCUCUCUCUCUUUAUCUCUCUCUCUUUCUCUCCCCACCCUCUCUCUCUCUCUCCCUCUCUCUUGCUCUCCCCACCAUUUCUCUCUCCCAUUUUUCCUCUCUCCCUCUUUCUGUCUCCUCCCGCCCUCUCUCUGUCCCUCUCUUUUUGUUCCUGUUCCUGAUAUUGUGUCCGUCCAACAAAGACGUCCCCGCGGCCCGCUCAUUAUACAAAUACAUGUCAUUGGAUCACACCUCGUCUCAGUCUGCUGUGCUUUAAGUGGCCAUGACUGAGUCCUGAAUGGGUGGCCGGGGGACAGCUAGGCCAAUAGAGCUGCUGUGUGUGCGCAUGCCCGUGUGUGGCUACGGCCCCAUGACUAUGGGAACUACAGCCGCACAGCAGGCUAGGGUCAAGGGUCAGGGACUGUCUGUUAGACACACACACACACAUAUGCCUGCACGCUUGUCUAGCACACACACACACACACACCUCCUGGAACGUCCUUUAUGUAAACUACACAAAGCGAACUUGGACUGGAAGAUGAGAAUGGAAGGAAAGUGAUGUGAACCAAUAUGUUACAUCAGUUUAAAAACACCAGCAGAGUUGUGUUCCUUCCUUAUGUUUAUGAAGCCAUUAAACAGCUACACCUGUUUCCAAGGUAAUUUAACACAUUUCUCAACCACCUUUCC
rnacentral:lncRNA from 1 species